AUUACAAGGCAAAUAUCACACGAUUACAUCCUAGUGGCUACUGGGAUUUGUCCAAAUGUGACCAGAAAUUGGAGUGGAGUGGCAUGGAAGGGAGGAGUGUGGGCCUUCACUGAGGUUGAUGGAUGCCUUAUAGGCUGGCCAUGGACCUACCUGCCUUAGAGAACUCGACCUCUUAGUACAAGUGGGACAGUACACAGCAGAUAGCUCAGAGAUUGCAGAAUACUUGUGGAAAAGUACAGGACAAAGUGCCUGGCUUCUGAUAAAAGCCAGAGAAAAAGAAAAACACCUUGGCAGUUUGAAUGAGUAUGUUUGGCAACAAUUUUUGUGUGACCCAUCACUAUUGGAAUUACCAGAGGAACUUAUUAACCACACAUUUCUGGACUUUACCUUAGAUCUACAAAAUUAAAUGCUGGAGAAAUGGAACCUGGGAUCCGUCUGAGAGCCACUGGCUUAAAUGAAUUAUUUGGAACAAUAAAUAUCUGUAUCAGUUUCCUAGGCUGCUGUAACAAAGUACUUCAAA